UACGGAGGGGGCUAGCGUUGUUCGGAAUUACUGGGCGUAAAGCGCACGUAGGCGGCUUUGUAAGUCAGAGGUGAAAGCCCGGAGCUUAACUCCGGAAUUGCCUUUGAGACUGCAUCGCUUGAAUCCAGGAGAGGUGAGUGGAAUUCCGAGUGUAGAGGUGAAAUUCGUAGAUAUUCGGAAGAACACCAGUGGCGAAGGCGACUCGCUGGACAAGUAUUGACGCUGAGGUGCGAAAGCGUGGGGAGCAAACAGG
rnacentral:rRNA from 1 species